GCCUUCGUAGUGCAGUGGUUAGCGCGCUCGACGCGUAUUCGAGAGAUCCGUGGUUCGAAUCCCGGCGAAGGCA
rnacentral:tRNA from 1 species